CAGUAGCCACGGUAAUACAGACGGUGCGAGCGUUAAUCGGAUUUACUGGGCGUAAAGCGUGCGUAGGCGGCUUUUUAAGUCGGAUGUGAAAUCCCUGAGCUUAACUUAGGAAUUGCAUUCGAUACUGGGUAGCUAGAGUAUGGGAGAGGAUGGUAGAAUUCCAGGUGUAGCGGUGAAAUGCGUAGAGAUCUGGAGGAAUACCGAUGGCGAAGGCAGCCAUCUGGCCUAAUACUGACGCUGAGGUACGAAAGCAUGGGGAGCAAACAGGAUUAGAUACCCCAGUAGUCCCUGUCUCUUAUAC
rnacentral:rRNA from 1 species